AGAACUGAAUAAAAGGGAGAGAGGGUUACACAACCUGGGGGGAGAGAGGAGGAGGAGGAGGAGGAGGAGAGUUGAGAGCUGUGAGAGAGAAGAGUAAUCAGGGGAGUAACUAUAAUAGGGCAAGGGGAGACAGUUGUCUGGGGGCCCACUGCCUUGGGGGGGGGCAGACGCAAGUCACAUGACUGACUCCCCCAGCCACGCACCCGCCCAGGCCUCCUUCAGUUGUGUUCAUCCUCUGAAAUUGAUGAAGGUCACAGCGAGGUUCCGUCUGGGAGCAACACUGGUAACCCGACAUGUCAAGUUAUAUUCCUUGCCCACCUCCAUCUCUGGCAACGGAUCCAACACUAUUAGCUCUGGAGCUCCUGGAACAAUGUAAAAACUCUGGGAGAAAUGCCGGUCCCUGCCGCUGCGCCUGCACAAUGGUGUGCUCCAAUGGUCCCAGACACAAAGGAAAAUGGAAAAAUCCAUAUAUGUGUAGAUCUGAAAAGGCUCAAUGAAGCAGUUGUUAGAGAAAAAUAUGUCCUCCCAACGUGUGAAGAUCUACUUCCAGAAGUGAUUGGAGCCAGAGUAUUUUCCAAAUUGGAUGCUUCAAGUGGCUUCUGGAAAAUACCUCUGACAGAUCAGAGUGCCAAACUAACAACAUUGAUAACACCCUUUGGGAGAUUCUGUUUCCAGCGCUUGCCCUUCGGGAUCACCAGCACGCCCAAGAUCUUCCAGAGGAAGAUGACAGAACUCCUUAAGGGCAUAAAAGGGGUCAUUGUUUUCAUGGAUGACAUUUUAGUACAUUGCACAUCACUAGAAGAGCAUGAUAAAACUCUAACCCUCAUCCUAAAUCUGAUCCAAGAGUCUGGGCUUAAACAAAACAAAGAAAAAUACAUUUUCUGCCAACCUGAAAUAGAGUUCUUAGGACAAGUGAUUACAGAACAGGUUAUGAAGCCAUGAAUGCCAAUCAGGCAAGCAAGGAGAGGGCUGAACAGACCGUUUUGGAUCCCACCUGGAGCACAAAACCAGAAAACCAGAGUAGAACCAGACUCAAACUGAACUGGGUCGGAGUGGAUGCCGAUUGCAUUCUCAUCUGGGACUUUUACAGAAACAGAUGGAACAUGAUGCUCAGAUAGAGAAAGAAUGCCUAGCCAGUGUUUGGGCACGUGAAGCCUUCUACAGAUAUUUGUGUGGUCUAUCAUACUGCAUGGGAGGAAGCAAUGGUAAACCCCUCCUGUAUUCUACCAAAGACAACCACAGGGCUCUGUGGGCGCCAAGAGUCAAAACCAACUCGAUGGCACACUUUACCUUUAUCUUAAAACAAGGAGUUAGAAUCAAAAGGCCUGAUAGAUAAAGAGGUCUUUGCCUGGUUCUGAGAAGACAAAAGAGUUGGCAGCAGACAGGCAAGCCUUUCCAGGGAGAGAGGUCCUAGGAGGGGCUGCUCUAUCAAGGGUCCCAGCUAUGGGGGAUGCGGGGGGCGGGGACUCUGUCCGAUGCCCUGGAGAGUUGCUGCCAGUCAGAACAGACAGUCCUGGCCUAGAUGGACCAAGGGUCACUCGGACUCCGUAGGAAGCAGGUUUCAGUUCCACUUCCUGAGCCAGGCACUCCCUUUCCUGAUCCCCGGCUGAAUAAGAGGAGCAUCCCCAUCUCCCACUGAGUAAUCUCCAUGCUGCUUCUUCAAGGCAAGUUUACCCCCCAAAUCCCAAAGUCCUUCAUGAAAGAUCCUGACGCAGCCCAGCAUGUGACUUACGGUAAACAGUGAGGGUUGCACUUUGAGGGGUUGUUGUCUCAUUGCAAUGAGCGUAGCAUUUUGGAGUGGAGUCCCACUCGCUGACAUUUACGAGUUGAAAAGCGGCCCAAGUGGUCCCAUUUCCCUUGCUCUCCAUCAUCUCCUUGGUCUCGAGGCCAAUUUUUGUGAGAUCCUUGCAGCUGGCACUGCAGUUAAACACAAUGGAGCCUCCAUAUGCCACUGCAGCUCUUUCUGGCUGUAUUCUCACCAAGGCUCCUCCUUGAGCUCCUGAAAACACAGAAAAGAGAAAAGGUCGAGAGAGAAAAGAGAUAAGGCAUGGGGAGUGCAGAUGACGGCAGGCAAUCUACAUUCUCCAUGCUCUGUACAUAAUAAGGACAUGGGGGAUGUACAUUAUAAAAUCCACAUUAAAAAAUGUCAGGUCCUUAGCCCAGCUAGCUGGCCAACUUCUUUUGUGAGGCAGAUCUCAAUUAGUAGUUCUGGCUGACUUUUCUUAAGUGGUGAGUAGACCUCUCCUAGUCUCAUCCUGGAUGAAUGAAGUCCUGAUGGAUUUAGUAAGAAGCAGGCAAACGGCAUCUCACAAAAGGGACUGGAGGUGACAUCAGCUUCCUCUUCUUCUGCCCACCUGUUCUAGAGGUGUCUUUGUAAAGAAAAACCAGUUUGAGGAGAAGCUGCUGGGUUGAGAGAAAUAGACUCAUUUGGUGGGGGGUGGGGGUGGUCCUGAAAUGGAAGCAGCCAGGCAGGAGCUGCAGCACCUUAAGAUGCAGACUAUGUCUCUCUGAUGUAAGCUGUUGCUGACUUCUAGGCGUGCUCUGCUACCGUCAGCUCCAUCUAAUGCAGAACCUUCUGCAGCAAACUCCUACCAGCUAGUGGGGUGGGAGGACCUCAAGAGAUCCCCCCCCCGUGGCAGCAUCCCCCUGAAUCCCCACAAUGGUGUUAAGUCCACCAUAUUAGUUACGUUGUGGGGGGAAAUCCGACCCCCCUACCACCCCCCCUCCACCAAGCCAGGUCCAAACUACUUUAGACUGACACUUUACUAUAUCUGCAUCCAAUCCAAACAUAGCACACUUGUUGAUCUAAUGUUAAUCUUAUCUUAUUUGUUUGUUAUUUCUCUGUGUAAACUGCUCUGAGCCAGUUUUGGAAAGGCAGUAUAGAAAUCGAAUAAUAAAUAAAUAAAUAAAUAAAUAAAUAAAUAAAUAAAUAAAUAAAUAACAUAGGUCUUCUCUACUGGAUGGAUAGCUGCCUGCUUUGUGGCUGGUAGGAGUUUGCUGCAGAAGGAAAGGGCUACCCUUGCAUCUGAGUCAUUUCCCCAGAACUGAUUUGGUGUCCCUUCCCCAGACAUGCAAACAACAAAAUAAGAGAGAACUGAGACCACGUGUGGUAACAGAACAAUACAUAGGUAGGUCUGGAGGUUUUCCAAAUGGUGAUUUACUCCUGCUUUGCUACCCUUAGGGUAGUGGGGGAGGUCAUACAAAGGAGGGAUUUACAGUGACUUCAAUACAGUAGCAGCAGCAAGGUGCCAUUCAUACAGCCAACUGCUUUUUUCAUGAUGAUUCAUGACAAUCAGCCUUUAAUACAUAAUUUAAGCAUGUUUAAAAAGAGUGUUGAAAAUGGCAGUACCAGACACUCUGGCAUUUUUGCUGCCCCGUUUGGAGAGACCCCUGAGAUAAAGUGUGAGAUGGAGGUGUGGCUGGCCCCUCUCCUCAGCCCCCUGCCUUGCCACCUCCUCAUUUGUUAUUGCAGAUCAAAGAUCAUUUUAUUUGGGAUUUAAAUAAAGGCUCAGUGGCUGGGGAAACUAGCAAGAACUGCUGGCUGCACUGUGCCACUGAUGCGUUUAGAAAACCAAAGAAACUCCAUUUUUGCCUAGAAGACCCCAUUCUAACUUAAAGUCCAAUUCAAGGUGCUGGUUUUGACCCUUAACAGUUUGGGCCCGGGGUAUCUGAGGAACCGCCUGCUCCCAAGGGUUGCUGCCCACUCGACAAGGUCAUCGGAGGGGGCUCUGCCCCGGGUGCCGACAAUGAGGGAGGCUCGGCUGUCAUGCACUCGGGACAGGGCCUUCUCUGUUGCUGCCCCCAGACUCUGGAAUGCUCUCCCAGAGGCCAUUUGCUCCUCAGAUCUUGGCUUUUUAUCCAGGCUUUUACAUGAUUGUUUGUAUUGCUGCUUCUAUGUGUUUUUACCUGUGUAUAGUUUUUUAUCCUUGUAUUUUAUAGGUUUUAAAUUUGGUUUGUUUUUAUAUUUUUAGCUUAAUAUUCUUAUUGUCAUUUUAUUGUAUGUUUUUUUUACUUUUGUAAACCGCCUUGAGAUUGAUUUUAAUGAAAGGCGGUAUAUAAAUUCAACAAUAAAAUAAAAAUAAAAUAAAUAAAUAAAGUAACCUAGCCCAGCUCAGGGA